GACGAACGCUGGCGGCGUGCUUAACACAUGCAAGUCGAACGCUGAAGCUCAGCUUUUGUUGGGUGGAUGAGUGGCGAACGGGUGAGUAACACGUGAGUAACCUGCCUCCUUCUUUGGGAUAACGCCCGGAAACGGGUGCUAAUACUGGAUAUUCACUGGUCUUCGCCUGGGGGUUGGUGGAAAGGGUUUUUCUGGUGGGGGAUGGGCUCGCGGCCCAUCAGCUUGUUGGUGGGGUGAUGGCCUACCAAGGCUUUGCCGGGUUGCCGGGCUGAGAGGGUGACCGGUCACAUUGGGACUGAGAUACGUCCCAGGCUCGUACGCGAGGGAGAAGUGGGGAAUAUUGCACAAUGGGCGCAAGACUGAUGCAGCGACGGCGCGUGAGGGAUGGGGGCCUUCGGGUUGUGAACCUCUUUCGCUCAUGGUCAAGCCGCAACAAUGGUUGUGGUGAGGGUAGUGGGUAAAGAAGCGCCGGCUAACUACGUG
rnacentral:rRNA from 1 species